UCAGGGGCCGGCUGGACCGGGGUUAUAAAUGGACGGAGCAGCUGUCACCAUGGCGUCUAGAGCCCCGGUGCCAAGAAGCCGGGGCCCCCCACCGCCCUCUGGGGAGCUGGGUGGCUGGAUGGGCCCCACCUCGUAGGCGGCUCUGGCCAGGCCUGCACGGCCUGCGUUACGAGGCUGUGGCUGCAGCGCGAUCCCGGCUCUCCCCGGAAGGAAGUUCUUCCUAGGGGGCAGACAGCGGCCCUGCCUGUCCCAUUCAGGGCACCUCAGAUCUGGCACCAUGUGGCUUCCAGCUCUUCCCCACUGUCAGAAUGACCAGGAAAAGGAAACGUUUUGAAUCCAUUCAGGACAUGGAGGCAGCCAGGACAGCGCAACUAAAGACACUCGGGAAAGAGGGCUCCAGAGCUGCUGCAGGAAGCGGCCAGGACGGUGGGAGGAGCGUGUGUGAGGAAAAACUGCAUUGCCACGGAUCCCCCUGUGACACUGUCCUAGCGGUGAGCACCUCAUCUCGUCUUCCUUGCCCUCUGGAGCAGGUCCAGAGCCCAUCUGCCUGGCUGUGGAGGCUGCAGCCUGUGCUGCAUGUGUCUUGGUGGCUUUGCUUUCUAUCCACCUAUGCACGCCUUUCCACACCUUCCACAGGGUCUGGAAGGAGCAAGGACGGGGACCUGGACUCAAAUCCACACUGGGCUGAAGCCAAAGCUCCCUGUGUCCUGCAUGGGUGCUUCCAAGGCUGGAGGCUCGGCUCCGCAAUGCCUCCUGCUGAAGUCAGACCGGGGUGCUCACCUUCCACUGGCUCACGUGCUUGCAGGGGGUUUGUGAGGACCACAUUUCCCAGAGUUGGCCCUGUGGGACAGGAGGCCUGGUGUCAGCAGCAGCUGGAGUGGCCAUUCCUCGCCUGGGAUGCUGGGAAGGAGUUGCAGUUGGGAUGGCAGUCAAGACCCCGGGCCCGAGAGUGGCAGCUGGCCAUCCAGAUCAGCAGCGUCCAGAUCCCUGGCCAGGGCGGCAGAUGGUCCCCUCCCUGAGGCAGUGACGCCCCCCGUGGUCCCCGUGACGGGCUUCCUGGGGCAGGAGGCGUCUCAAUGCCGCCGCUGUCUGGCUCCCAACACAAACCCCAGCUUCCCAACUGCUCUCAGAAUAGAUGCACAUGUUGGAGUCUUUCCGCGGGCAGGAAACGUCACGACCAAGGACAUGGUGUUUUUGUCAUCUGAUGUCCUUGUCUGAAUGAUCCAGCAUGGCCGCCCAGGUGAACACCAGUGUGGCCCAGCCCUGGGUCCUGCUAGGCGGGUGCAUCUACUUCCUGUGCAUACCCAAGACAGCAGCGAGGCGAUGUCUGGUUUCUGGGGUGAUCAGCUGGGGAGGGGCUUCCUGCCUUCAGGGACCACUGGUAAACCCUGUGCUCUAGCCGAGCCGCCUACCCUGGCCGUUCAGAGAGACAGUGAGCGCCCUGAGGAUGCCCACGGCACACACAUUGCUGUGCUGUGUGCACUUUGUGUGUGUGCAGCGAGUGGUGUUCGGCGUGUGUGUCAUGUAGGGUGGGAGUGUCGGUUGUGAGCCCUGUGCUGUGUGUCCUGUGUAUGGCAUCCGGGUGUGUUGCGUGUGGGGUGCUUCUUGUGUGCUCUGCUGUGUUGUGUGCUGUUGUGAAGCGCACGUACGUACUGUACGUACCGUCACACCCAGGCCCUGUGGGCAUUUUGCUGAUGUGGGCGAGGCUGCCAGACCCAGAAGUCAGAAAGUGGGGCGGGCCCUCUGCCCACCAGCACACACGACACACAGCACAGACACAUUCAUGUGACACAGGUCCCACACACGCAGCAGAGGCCACGUACAUGUGGUCUGUAAUACAGACCACACACCACACAGCACAAAUGCACACACACCUCACAGAGCACACACAUACAACACAACACACACGACACAGGCUGUAUGCCAUAUGCACACAAGUGUGGACAUGAAAUACAGACCACACACACAGCACAGACCAUGCACACACAACCACACACCGCACACCAACAGUGCACACAACAGUCCAUGGACCUCACACACGUACAACCACACACACACAGACGGGUCACACAAACCAGGUCAUGGCAGGGCCCCUGCACAGGGCCAGGGAGGGAGGUGGCCUGGCCAGGACAGGAGCAACAGAUUCUGGGUCCCCAUGGGCGGGGACCAGUGGGGCAGGGUCACUGGCUGGGGAGGAGGCCUGGGCAGCUGUUGGGCACAGGACUUCUUGCGUCAGUCCUGCUGGGGACCUCUGUCACCUGCUCCCACACUCCCAGCCGCGCCUCCCCUCCCCUGCCUGGCCCUGUCUGGAGCUGCCCUCCAGCCCUGUGGCCAGCUGGAUACUUGUCCCAAGCUCUUUUCUGGUCCAUUUUAGUUAAGGGAGUCUGUUCUGCUCACCACUUCAGCUGGAGGCUUAAAUCCUGGGUCUGUCCCUGGGGCCCCACCCUGACUCCAAGGACCUCAUCUUCCAGCCCAGAAAGCUUUGAUCAUGUACCUAUCAACAAAAACCACUGGCACACCCAGCACUUGAUGUACAGAUUAAAUAAAAAUCACGGGAAGCCUUUGUCUUGGAUGAAGCUCCUAUCCUG